rnacentral:lncRNA from 1 species
UGAGUACCGCUUUUAGCUCAUCUGCCACUCCUAGGCAGCUGAGCUUGCUCCUGAUCUAACAAGGGGAUGUGCAGCCACAAGCCUUCCGAGAGGCGCACCGUACGCCAGCCAACUGGGAAAUGUGUCAGGGAGUUUGUUCGGAUCCAUUUCAGGACAUGGUCAGAUCACUGAACGUGCAUGUGUGGGGGACAUGGGAGGUCAGCUCCGAAGAAAAUAAGGGACAUAGUGAACAGGCAGAAGAGGAUAAGUUGCUUGCUAGAAAGGCUUGCUUGCACCACUAGCAGGCAUCAAAAAACGAGCCCAUCAGCCACACAUGUUGGGCCAAGCUAGGAGCUCAGUAAACUUGUCUGGGUUUAGUUGUUUGAUUGUUUUCGGAAAGUGAAACGUAGCUCAUAAAUAACUUAGAACAUUUGCCAGAAAUCAGGAGAUCCCAGAAAUCACGCAUUCCUAAGUCAUACCUAAAAUAUAUUUAUAAAGGCUGCAUCAGGGCAUAAUUCCAGUUCUGAGCUGGUGGAGGACAGCGACUAGAGGACUGCUUUGUUUACGUGAGUGAUAGAAGGAGAUACCAUGCUGAAACAAAUAAAUCUUGCUACCUUAAUCAGUAAACCUGCCUGAGGGUGCCAAGUAGGUACCUUAGCAGACGUGGUUAGCAGACUGUGGAUCACAGUUGUGACGACAAUCUUAUCUCUGUUUUCAAUGGAUUGUAUUUUAUUUUACAACAUCACUGCCCCAUGUUCCAUACUAUAUUUUUCUUCUUUCCCCACUUUAUUCUAUGUCGGUCAGUACAACUCCUCCAAGGUGUAGCUGUUUAUUUUCUUACUUCCUUUAGACUUUUGUUGAUUUGGGCACCUGAAAAUUCUAACUAGGGUUCAUAUGAAAUAAGAAAAAAAGAAGAAGAAAUUUUGGGAUUCUCACUAGAGCAAAAUAAUUUUACUGGGUGGGGUGACACGAGCAUAGUCCUGUCUGUGUAGGCCAGAUGGCAAGAAAGGGAAUGUGGUUUGGCUGUGUGCUCGGGGGGGAAAAAUAUAUUUGGGGAAACAGGAGGGGACAGAUGGAGUGUUCUUCCAGAAAAACAAUCAACACUUUUGAUUGCAGCUUCCCUGUGUCUUUUGACAGCUGCACAACAGGAAGAAAUGCAUGCACUGCAGCUUCUCUGACAUUGCAGCAUCUGAGUCCUUGAAGAAGCAGCACCAGUUGAAUUUCUGCCCUGGCCUGGGUGGGUAGGUAAGUGGGUGACAACACUCCUGUUUGAUGACAACCCCACCACUUCACUGAUUCUGAUAUCACCCUGUCAUUAUUUUAAAUGAAAACACCCAUGGAAACUCAUUUUGCAACUCUCUCGCAUCUCCUGGAUUUUCUUUGUAUUGUCACACCUUAAAAUCAUCAGCUGCGAAGUAGAAUUCAAGAAUAAAUUGACAUUCCCAGUUUGGGGGAGGACAGGAUAGAAAUAAAUAUAACAAUAAUAAGAAUUAUUAUUACUAUUACUACUACUACUACUACUACCCACAACUGAUAUUUAUGCUUUGUUCUGUUCUGUAACAUUAUGACUAGCAGUUUCAUUUAUAUUAAGGGGUUUUGAAACAACAUAAGCCUCUUAAGACACUCUAUCACUGUUAUGUACUGAGUUGAAUAGGAUCCAAACUGCAGCAGUCUGAUUGGUCCUAGAACAAUAGGAUCCCAAAGGCAGCAGUCUGAUUGGUCCUAGAACAAUAGGAUUCAGAAUGCAGCAGUCUGAUUGGUCCUAGAACAAUGCAGCAGUAUGAUUGGUUGGCAGGAACCACCCAAUCAUGCUCCAGAUAGAAGUGAAUCCACAACCUGAUUGGCUUACAGUAGAAUUCCGGAAUUAGCCAAUCAUGUGCAGCCCAUUGUGUAAAGAAUGUAUAUAAAGCAGAUACUUUGAGGGGACUUCCAUUCAUUCCUCCUCACCACUAUGAGCUGAAUAAAGAGCAUGAAAUCACUUUACGACUCUGAGUAUAUUUCAAUCACUUAAAGCAGAAUGUAAUCAAAUCACCACAUUUUGUUUGGCAAACACACACACACACACGGACAGAGACAAGGGACAUGGACACACCAGGAAAAGGAAAAGGACGCAAAAAGCCCAGAUGGUUCAGGUCAAGGCAGAGUGGAUUUUCCACAUACUAAAAUAAAACGCAAAACUGAUGCAUCAGGGCUUUGAUGAGCAGAGGUCCCUGGGCAGGCAUCUGCAACAGGAGCUGGAACUGUUAUGCCUUCUCCCUGGGACCUUAGAGGCAUGGAGUUUAUGGUGGGAAGAACAGCUGUGGAAGGAGGGGGGGAGAAGAGACCCCUUCAGGAUUUCAGAGAGGGCACGUAGCUCAUGUCCCACAUGGCGAAGAUAAGAAAUGUUGGGGGCGGGGCGGAGGGGGUUGUAGGAAAUGGCUUAGGAAAACCCAGCAGCACAAGCUAAACUGCAGCUGCAGCAACAGCUCAGGGUGGCGGAGGAAAACUGCACACAGUCAGCAGAUUCAGCUCCUCUCCAGUGAGAAAAGCAAAGGGCUGCCAAACAAAUUCCUGCCUGGAGGGAGAGGGGGCUCCUUGCAGCUGCUCUCCGAGCUGCCUCCAGCUCUCCAAGAAGUUGGCUCCGUGCGGGAAGGGCAGAGUUAACUCCGCAAGGCCUUACAUGUGGUUCAUAUCAACAGAAGGGAACUUGGCACCAGGAGAACACGGGCUAUCAAUUUACCCCAGUCUGGAUGACGUUUCCUCCUCUCUCUGCUUUUCUGGGUCUUUGCACACUCAACACACAGGAAUCAAUACAUUGGCUGUAGGUGGAUUUCUUUUUUCUGGGCAGCAAUGUUGUUUAAGGAAGUUUGGAGUGUGUUUUCUAAAGUCACCGUUCCACUUCAAAGUGGACAAGGUGCUAUAAAUAAGCAUGUUAUCUGUAUUAAAAACACUCAGAGGAGUCAAAAACUGAAUAUGAUGCUUUAAACAGCAGAUCAAAUGUCAGGGGUCUACUACACCAGGAAAAUGCCUUUGGAAAACCCAAAUAUCCAGCCAGUUGGACAUUCCAUUGGAAGGAUUCCACAAUGCAGAUGUUGACAGAAUCAUCAUCAUCAUAAUUUUAUUUAUGCCUCGGCCAUCUGGCUGGGUUGCCCCAGCCACUCUGGGUGGCUUCCAACACAUAUAAAAACAUAAUAAAAUGUCAAACAUGAAUAAUAACAAUCUGAUCCAAUACAAAAAAGUCACAAUAACUUUAAAAUAAACCACUUAUACUGAAACAACAAUCCAUUAUAAUGAGAAGGACGUGGUUGGUACUGUGGUCUAAACCACUGAGCCUCUUGGGCUUGCUGAUCGGAAGGUCGGUGAUUCUUAUCCGCACGACAGGGUGAGCUUCCAUUGCUCUGUCCCAGCUCCUGCCAACCUAGCAGUUUGAAAGCACACCAGUGCAAGUAGAUAAAUAGGUACUGCCGAGGCGGGAAGGUAAACAGUGUUUCCGUGCUCUCUAGUUUCUGUUACGGUGUUCCAUUACACCAGAAGCGCUUUAUUCAUGCUGGCCACAUAACCCAGAAAGCUGUCUGUGGACAAAUGCUGGCUCCCUCGGCCUGAAAGUGAGAUGGGUGCUGCACCCCAUAGUCGCCUUUGACUGGACUUAACUGUCCAGGGGUCCUUUACCUUUUACCUUUUUUACCAUUAUAAUCUAAUGGUAAGCAGUAAAAUUAAAUAUCAGCAUAUAAUAAUUAAACCAUUUACACUUAUAACAAUAAACAAUUGUUAAACUACAAUCAAUAAAACUAAUGGCAAGUCGCAAUGCACAAAAUACCACAAACAUUACAAGGACAUCAUCCUGCCAGUGGCCAAACCAUUUUUUAGCCAACAGGAACACCCUCACAGGCAGAUGUAGUCCUCUUGGCCCUGGUCUCAUUCUCUAGUCUGAACGCAAACUAUGGUUUGCGGUUCACUUGUCAUAAUAAACCAUAAUUUUUGCUGUGGGAAAAAUAUGAGUUGCUGUGGGGCAGGAGGUACAGGGUGCUUUUCUCAUUGCUAUCCCUCGAGCUACAAUUCCCAGUACGCCCAGCAAACUAAAGUUCCCAGCAUUCUUUGGUGUGUCGGGAUGUGCUUUAAAUGGAUGGCAUGUAAGUAGCCCAAACAUCUCGUGGUCUAGAGAGGGAACUUCUGAGUUUACCCUGAAUGCUAAGGCAGGCACUCUCCUUUAACCGAGUGUGCAUGGGCAGAAAUGGCAACAUUGCUACCCAGUCACACCAAGCUGGAUUGAUUCCUGCAUUGCAAGGGGUUGAACUAGAUGACCCGUGGAGCCCCUUCUAACUCUAAAAUUCUAUGAUUCUUUGUUGUUUUCACUGGGUAGGUCUCAUGCCCAGCUCUCCUCCUAUAGUUCCAUCCCUGCUAUAAUGCAAUAAAACGUUUGGGCAAUCCUAGGCCCUUUAGCACCAUAUAGUUAAGGUAAAGGGACCCCUGACCAUUAGGUCCAGUUGUGACCGAUUCUGGGGUUGCGGCGCUCAUCUCGCUUUAUUGGCCGAGAGAGCCGGCGUACAGCUUCCGGGUCAUGUGGCCAGCAUGACUAAGCCGCUUCUGGCGAACCAGAGCAGCGCACAGAAACAGCGUUUACCUUCCCGCCGGAGCGGUACCUAUUUAUUUACUUGCACUUUGAUGUGCUUUCGAACUGCUAGGUUGGCAGGAGCAGGGACCGAGCAACAGGAGCUCACCCCGUUGCAGGGAUUCAAACUGCUGACCUUCUGAUUGGCAACCCCUAGGCUCUGUGGUUUAACCCACAGCCCACCCGCAUCCCAUCAGCACCAUGUAAUACUGUGCUAAACAUUUGGGGAGGGUAAAAAAAAAAAAAAGGUGACCAGUAUGAGCACCCCAGACAUGACUCUUGUUCCAGGCUGAAUAGCAGCACUCCUGUUUGGGGCUGGAGAUACGCUGCAACAAUUUGUUGUGGGUCCCCGCUCCCCUUACCACCACUAGCCAAUUAUAUUCUAUGUCAGAUUUUAAUCAUAGCCAGAUUAUGCCUGCGCUGUGGCCUUUCUCCACACCAGGUCAGGUUUAGAUUAUUUCAUGGCGCUCUCUACCCCAGGCCUCGCCUGCUUUCUUCCUCUGCUCCUAUCUUAGUACAUCUCCCGCUGAGUCUCAGCCAACAAGGAAGUUGCAUCUUACUUCAAGGCAGCUAUAUUUCCUCUCUUAACAAAGGCAGGCUAGAAGUCUACUUCUCCUCCACCCAUCCAGGCCCAGGCAAAGCGAGGGACGGGGUCCUAAGGCAAUUUCCUGAUGAGUGUCAGCUGUCACACUCUGUCGCACAUUCAGUAAAGAUCUGAAGGGCCAGGCGAUGAGUGACUGGCCGUAAUAACGCCACACGGAAGAGAGAGAGAGAUUUGGGGCUGGCCCAAGACGUCGGGUGGAAAUCGAAAUGGCACUCCUUGUCACAAAUUAAAAUUGUGGUGCCAGGCCCUCAGAAAGUUUUCUUUUGGGGAUGGCCACAAGAGGACUUGCCCUCCCCCAGAACCACCCAUAAAAAGCAGGAGGGUGACAGGGCAGCAGAGGUAGUCCUGAGGCUCUGAAACGAGUUGUUAAAGUAUCUAUUGACCUUGGAUCUAUGGACCUUGCUUGUUCUUUUUUUUGACUGAACUCGCCUAGAAGGAGGUGAGGAUUUUUCAAAAGAAGGCUGUGAGCCAGUGUUGGUUAAAAUGGGGGCAAACCACUUUAUUUGUACUUGUCUUAAAAUGGGUUCCCAAGACCUUAAUCAGACAUUGUUGUUGUUGUUUAGUCGUUUAGUCGUGUCCGACUCUUCGUGACCCCAUGGACCAGAGCACGCCAGGCACUCCUGUCUUCCACUGCCUCCCGCAGUUUGGUCAAACUCAUGCUGGUAGCUUCGAGAACACUGUCCAACCAUCUUGUCCUCUGCCGUCCCCUUCUCCUUGUGCCCUCCAUCUUUCCCAACAUCAGGGUCUGUUCCAGGGAGUCUUCUCUUCUCAUGAGGAGGCCAAAGUAUUGGAGCCUUAGCUUCAGGAUCUGUCCUUCCAGUGAGCACUCAGGGAUGAUUUCCUUAAGAAUGGAGAGGUUUGAUCUUCUUGCAGUCCAUGGGACUCUCAAGAGAAUCAGACAUUAUUUAUUAUUAAAUUUUAUAUUGCUUUCAUAUCCCACCUUUCAUUGAAGAAGCUCAAGGUGACAUACAGAGUUGUCCUUCUCCCCAUUUUAUCCUCACAAGAACCCUGUGAGGCAGGUUAUGCUAAGACGAUAACACACUGGCCUGUUUUUACUUUUUAAAAUGCUCUGCAUAAAACAAUAAGUGUGGCUCUUUUGUUCCAUUUUCCUCUCUCUUUUCUAGCAAGGCUGCUGUUGUUGUUGUUGCGCCUCUGUGCGUGAUUUUCUUGGGUUGCAAAAAUAUGUGUGUCAGGGGUUCAGGAGCAGAGGCACAGGAAAGGGAGGAAAUAGAGAGCGAGGGGGAGGAGUCCGAAGGAAAUGUUAGCGAUGACAGCGGUCCGAGGUCUCUGAGUCUUUCCAGCGAAUCGGAAGAUUCACAGAAAGGGGCUCCCUUGGUCAGAGCAAGGGGGUGCCGAGGGGGACACCCCAGGAAGAAGGGGCCAGAGGGGACUCAGAGAGCAGCAGUUGGAAAUCAGGACCAGCGUCCACACCAGAGUGCAGUAGGGGGGAGGAGUCCCAGGCAUCGGGAUCAGGCGGCGCACUGCCAGUGGGAGGACAUGAGUCAGGAUUGGCCACGCCUCCAUCGGGGAGCGAGGAAACGGUCGAGAGGAAGGUUGAAGGCUGGGCGCGCGCGCAAAGUUCAAAUGUACAGGAGGGCGGCGCAGUUGGCAGCCCGGAUAGGGAGCCAGGUCCCAAAGCCCGCCGAAAAGAGGGGAAGGAGUCAGCGGGGUCAGCGUCAGAAGAAUCCAGGAAGGAAGGGACACCGGGGGGUAGCAGGACCCAGAGGAGAAAGGAGAGACGUAAGAGGUGGAGUAAGGCUAGAAUCUUAAACUGGUGUACAGGGGGCGGAGACUCAGAUGGAGCUUCGCCGAUCUAACCCCUAGACGUAGAGCUGGGGCGCUCCGGCUUGAAAAUGGAAACUGUACUUCAAUAAAGACUUUUGUACAUUACUGCCGGCUAGCGUUGGUCCUCUGUGAGCUGGGACCUGGAGCCAGCUCUGACAGUAAGCUCCAUCCCAAAAAGUUUUGCACCAAAGACCUCGUAACGUGAGUGGACGCAGCGAGGGAAGAAGAUUGGUGCUUCGCGAGCUCACAAAAGUCAGGCAAGAUGACUACAGAACAGCAACUAGCAGCCCUGCAAAAUGCAGUGACACAACUCAACGCGGAGGUACUCGCAUCCAGGAAAAGGGAAGAGGAAGCGGCUGCCGCCUGCAGGGAUCUCCAAGCCAGGUUGGAAGUGCUUGCUAAGCAGGGGCAACCGGGACCCAAAUCAGAGGGGAUUGGGCUGGGGAAAAGAGGAGGCAGCCUGGUAUCUCAUUUCGAUGGGAAUUUGCAGCAGUACCCUAACUUCCGAGCAGACGUGCUGUUUGCACUGGAACUGCUGGAUAAAGACUUUAGAGAUGAGCAAGAAAAGGUGGGGUUUAUCUUGUCCCAUUUGCAUGGGGAAGCUAAAGCGUGGCUGCGCAAUCUGUGGAGAGAUAAGGAUCCGGCGCUCCAAAAUGCGGAUGCAUUCAUUAAAGCGAUGGAUUCGUGUUUAUCAAAUAUAGACAUUGAUAUCGCCAGAAAAGACAUACAUGGGCUCAAACAAGGCAGAGCCAGUGUAAGGCAGUACCAUUCCCGUUUUUUUGCAUUAGUCCAUGCGCUGGGAUGGGAGAAGGAUUCUGCCCCAGCCAGAGACCUUUUUGGGAAGGCUUGAAUGCAAAUGUGAAAGAUGAGAUUGCAAGGGGGGAGAGACCAAAGAGCACUCAGGAGGUUGUCCGGCGGGCGCUGCAAAUUGGGGUGCGUCUGGAAGAACGUCCAUGGAACAGAGAAGAAGGACGUUGGGGACGUACGCCAGUGAGAGCACCCCCCUCUUUCCCACGGAUGCAGCGCGUGUGCAAUCCCCACCUCCGCAAGGAGGGGGAGAGCAACCGAUGGAGAUUGGAGGCGCCAGGGCUCAGUCAACAACCAGAGCCUUAACACCGGGAGCAGUCAAAGCGAAGCCUCCUAGAGGGAACAGGAAGUGCUACAUCUGCGACAGUGCUCAGCACAUGGCGAAAGAGUGUCCCCAGAGGCUCCACAAGCACACUGCAGCCUCAGCAACAGUAACAGAAGCAACUCAGCAGAGGGAGCCACAGCAGGGAAACGACAGAGUCUGGUUGGAGGAAGAGGCACUGGGGCCCAACCAGACACGUCAAUGAAGCCGUCCCCAGAGAUUUUGCAGCCCACAGACCCCCUCCCGCCCAAACCAGUGGUGCAGCUCACAGCAUCGCUCCAACUACCCAAUGGACUCACUAUGGAAGUGCCGAUUACCAUUGACUCUGGUAGUAACGCAGACUUCAUAGGACUGGAUUUCCUUCAAGAGCACAACAUAGCACUCCUGCCAGCCACGCUGCCUCUGAAAGUUGUCACGGUGGAUGGCAGGGAAUUGCUGGGGGCAGGUGGUGCAGCAAACUCCUCCGAUGGUGAUGCAAAUUGGGAAUCACCGAGAAGUCAUCAGCUUCAAUGUCACCCAACUGUCGGACACGCCUAUAGUAUUAGGCAUGAGUUGGCUGCACAGGCACAGCCCAGCAUUGGCGUGGUACCAGCGACAACUGACCUUCGGCUCCUCAUACUGUGCGGAACAUUGCAUUCUGCCUAGCCCGGAAGGGGAAGAGGAUGACCCGCAGCUACAAUUAGGCACGCUGCAAGCAGUGCCACUCAAGUACGCAGCGUUUUGGAGGUUUUCUGCGAGAAGGAAGCGGACAAGCUACCUCCCCACAGGUCUUAUGACUGCAAGAUUGACCUCCUGCCAGGGGCGACGCUGCCAACCGGGAAACUGUAUUCCAUGUCUGAAGACGAGCUGCAGGAACUCAGGGAGUUCAUAGACCUCAACUUGAAGCGCGGUUUCAUCCGGGAGUCGAAGGCAGUGGGGGGGCAGUCCUGUAUUCUUUGUGAAGAAGAAGGACACGCCCCAAAAAGGCUUGUGGUGGACUAUAGAAUUUUGAACUCGAAAACCAAGCCCACAGCCUUUCCCAUGCCCAAGAUAGAUGACCUGCUCGCAACGGUGAGGAAAGGACGCGUUUUCACAAAGUUGGAUCUGCGAGGGGCGUACAACCUGAUUCGCAUACGGGAGGGCGACGAAUGGAAGACUGCCAUGUUCACGCCCCUGGGCACCUAUGAAUACAGAGUUAUGCCCUUUGGAUUACAAAAUGGCUCCCACUGUUUUCAAGCCUUCAUGCAUCAUGUAUUGGCGGGUCUCCUCUACAAGAAAUGCGUCUGCUUCCUGGACGACAUCCUGAUAUUUUCAGAAUCAGAGGAGACCCACGAGGGAGACGUCAAGGAAGUUCUGCAGAGACUGCAGGAGCACAGGCUGUACGCCAAGCUGGAGAAGUGCCAGUUCGACAUGAAGGAGGUAGAUUUCCUGGGCUACAAGUUGUCGGACAAGGGGCUCGCCAUGGACAGCGCCAAGGUUCGCUCAGUGUUGGACUGGAAGAGCCCGCGCAAUCGGAAGGAGGUCCAGCGGUUUGUCGGUUUCGCCAACUUUUACCGCAAGUUCAUCAAGGGGUUCGCGAUGCAGACGGCGGCCAUUACCGACACGCUCAGCUCCAAGAAGAAGAAGUUCAUCUGGACGGAGCAAGCGGAGCAGUCCUUUCAGAAACUCAAGCGUCUCUUCUCGUCCGAAGAGCAGCUACUGCAUGUGAAUCCCAGCAGACCGAUGAGGGUUGAAAUGGACGCCUCAGACAGAGCCGUGGGAGCAGUACUGUUGCAGCAAGACCCGCAUGGGGACUGGAGACCGUGUGCCUUCUACUCCAGGAAGCUCAGCAAGUCAGAGCAGAACUACACCAUCUGGGACAGGGAGUUGCUGGCCAUUCAUGCAGCAUUCAAGGCGUGGCGGCACUUCCUCAUUGGAGCCAAACACACAGUGCAGGUCCGCACGGACCAUAAAAACCUGGAGUACUGGCGCACGGCAAGGUUCCUGAACCAGAGGCACAUACGAUGGGCGGAGUUCUUUGCGGAUUUCGACUUCAGGAUAGAGUACAUCCCAGGCGACAACAACAUCAUGGCGGAUGCACUGUCCAGAAAGCCGCAAUACCUCGAGGAGGCGGCGCCAGCAGCGGCCAAGCACAUUUUCGCACCGAAAGCGUGGGCGUGCGCUUCAGCAACCGUGGACCUGGAUGCUGUACGUCGAGCACUGCAGGAGGACCCCUUCGCGCAAGCAAAGAUGGCAGAGGUGCAAAGGGGCACGGCGGAGGACGACGAGUUCCAGAUACGCGACGGAUUGCUCAUCCGCAGAGGGGCCCUCUACGUACCGGGAGACGACCUCCGCGCGAAAGUACUGCAGCAGUUGCACGACGCACCCACCGCCGGGCACUUUGGCAAAGAGAAGACGGUAGAAUUAGUAGCCAGAGAUUUUUGGUGGCCCAAGAUGCGGGGGAAGUCGCGGAUUACGUCUCGAGGUGCGACACCUGCCAAAGGGCCAAGUCAGUGCACAAACCGCCGGCGGGACUGCUCGAACCGCUGCAGACACCGCUCGAACCGUGGGAGAGGGUGGCCCUGGACUUUGUCACGGAUCUACCCAGCUCGAGGGGCAAGACGGCAGUGCUAGUGGUGGUGGACAUGUUCACCAAAAUGGCCCACUUCAUUCCGUGCGCGAAGGUGGCCACGGCGGAACAGACCGCCAAACUGUUCAUAGACCACGUGUUCAGAGUUCACGGUCUGCCACGGUCUAUCCUGUCCGACCGGGGUCGACAGUUCAUCUCGAACUUCUGGCAGAAGCUGAUGGGUUUCCUGAACGUCAAGAUCAACCUAGCGUCGGCGAGACACCCGCAGACGAACGGACAAGCGGAGCGAGUCAACGCCAUCAUGCAGCAGUACCUGCGAUGCUACGCAAAUCAGCAGCCGGCAACAUGGGUGGACUACCUGCCGCUCGCUGAGUUCGCCUACAACAACACGAAGCACGUGUCCACGGGGGUGACACCGUUCUUCGCCAACAACGGGAGGCAUCCCAGAACCUUCCCGGGAUUAGCGAGAGCGGGGAGGGGGAGCCACAGGCAGCGGAAGCCUUAGCAUCAGAGUUGCAGGAGGUUCACGAACAGCUUAGGAGGCAGUUAGAACUAGCAAAGCACGCAUACAAACUGCAGGCUGACAAGCACAGGAGGGUUGGGGAAGACAUACAGGUGGGAGACUGGGUUUGGUUAGCAGCCCAGGCAGUGCCGGCCAGAUCGUUAGCGAAGAAGAAGCUAGGGCAUAAGCAGCUAGGACCCUACCAAGUCGAGGCACAGGUCAAUCCAGUGGCUUUCCGGUUGACACUGCCGGAGGGAUCCAGAAUGCACCCAGUUUUCCAUAGAUCAGUGCUCACGCCCUACAAAGCACCUCAUAGAUUUCAGGAGCCAGGAACGGCACCAGACCUGUUCAGGGAAACGCCCACAAGGGGGGGGUCGCCAAGGCGGGAACCCGUCAACGAAGUCACAGAGAUUUUAGACUCGAGAUGGGGGGAGGAGGGAGUGGAAUACCUCCUCGCCAAGGAAGGUACCUCGGCUAGCGCCAACAGUUGGGUGCCAGAUUAUGCUCUGGAGGAAUCUUGGCUCAAGGACGAGUUCCAUGCACUUUUCCCACACAGGCCCAUGCCAGCCGAGUAUUUCGACGACUGGCUUUUCACACCCACAUUUUCAGCUAGCACAUUCCAGGGGUUCACCUCGGACGAGGAACCGGCACUAGAAGCACGUCCCCGGAGGGAUCACCCUCGGGGUCUGCCUCAGACCGUUCCUAUUGGUGGGACACUCAACCAGAGGAGCAGUGGCGCAGGAAGUGGUGGGGGGGUCCUUGGCAGGCAACGUCCCCGGAGGAGACCGGGGAGAGACGGACAUGGACGUGUUGGGGGAGGACCUUGGGUUCGAGCACGGCGGCAAAGAGAUGGAAGCAGAGGAAAUUGAGGUCGGCGAGAGCACGGAGGACGAGCCGGACUUAUCCGGCUGGAUGCACGCCACGGGGACGAACUGUAUCCGGCACUCACCCCCACAACGACGGAGCACCCAGUACCCACACCUGAAGGAGGGGAGGGGGAAGGGGGGCUUCGAGGGGGAUGGAUGUCAGGGGUUCAGGAGCAGAGGCACAGGAAAGGGAGGAAAUAGAGAGCGAGGGGAGGAGUCCGAAGGAAAUGUUAGCGAUGACAGCGGUCCGAGGUCUCUGAGUCUUUCCAGCGAAUCGGAAGAUUCACAGAAAGGGGCUCCCUUGGUCAGAGCAAGGGGGUGCCGAGGGGGACACCCCAGGAAGAAGGGGCCAGAGGGGACUCAGAGAGCAGCAGUUGGAAAUCAGGACCAGCGUCCACACCAGAGUGCAGUAGGGGGGAGGAGUCCCAGGCAUCGGGAUCAGGCGGCGCACUGCCAGUGGGAGGACAUGAGUCAGGAUUGGCCACGCCUCCAUCGGGGAGCGAGGAAACGGUCGAGAGGAAGGUUGAAGGCUGGGCGCGCGCGCAAAGUUCAAAUGUACAGGAGGGCGGCGCAGUUGGCAGCCCGGAUAGGGAGCCAGGUCCCAAAGCCCGCCGAAAAGAGGGGGGGGAGUCAGCGGGGUCAGCGUCAGAAGAAUCCAGGAAGGAAGGGACCCCGGGGGGUAGCAGGACCCAGAGGAGAAAGGAGAGACGUAAGAGGUGGAGUAAGGCUAGAAUCUUAAACUGGUGUACAGGGGCGGAGACUCAGAUGGAGCUUCGCCGAUCUAACCCCUAGACGUAGAGCUGGGGCGCUCCGGCUUGAAAAUGGAAACUGUACUUCAAUAAAGACUUUUGUACAUUACUGCCGGCUAGCGUUGGUCCUCUGUGAGCUGGGACCUGGAGCCAGCUCUGACAAUGUGCAUUGACACUAAUUUCAGGUCGUAAAGUCUCUUCUACCAAUCAUUAAUAUUGUGCACAGUAUAAGGCUGAGGAGCAUCGUAGGCAGAAAAUUAAACAAGGGAGCUUGCCACCCACUCACUGCACACCUUAAUGUGGCGCAUCACCCGAUGAAUUUCUGCCUGGCACAUGCCAAUUAAAGGCACAGCAACCCUGCCAGCAAAGAAAGUGGCAACUCUAUCAGCUUGAAAGCAUACUUCCCUGUCAGCAAAACUGGUGCGAAAAAGGAUAAUCUGAACAACUUUCCUUUUUGGGGAGAAGGGAGAACUGAAUACCAGCCACCCUUGUAACAACUGUAGGUAGAAUUGCUGUUUUCGAUUCUAAUUUUCCAUCCCUUAAUUGAAUGGAUUGCUGCCAAGGACACCCACUCUGUUUACAUUCCAUCUGCUUCUCCUGUUUUUCAGUAACAGCUUGGUGCAACAGCCUGCAGCUUCAGCUCCAGGCAGCUGGGGAAUAGACACUCUCACUCUUUCUCAGCAUCCCAUCGCUUGUACUUAAACAUCUUUAUUAAUGGCUUGAAGGAGGU